ACUGACCUUCGGGAAGCAGGCAGGAGAGGGGGCUGGAAAUAAAGCUCUAUAAAAACUCAUGAACGGUGGGUCUUGAUGAGCUUCCGGGUUUAUGGAUUGGUGGGCUGCCUCCACUUGCUAGGAGGGUGGUGCACUCUAACUCGGAGACAGAAGCCCCUGUGCUCAGGACUCUUGCAGACCUCUUUACCUGGCUGUUCAUCUUCCAUAAUCAACUGGUAGACGUUACAUCCAAGAGGAAAUAAUCCAGGCAAGGAAGCACAAGCUGAUCAAGAUGUGUAGUUCUGUGGCUGCGAAGUUGUGGUUUUUGACAGAUCGUCGCAUCAGGGAAGACUAUCCUCAAAAAGAGAUUUUACGAGCAUUGAAGGCCAAAUGUUGUGAGGAGGAACUGGACUUUAGAGCUGUGGUGAUGGAUGAGGUGGUGCUGACAAUCGAGCAAGGAAACCUGGGUAAGUCUAUAUACUAAGUGAUCUUUUGGAUUUUUACCUAGAAUAUGAUGAAUCUGCAUGUUUUAGGAAUAAUUAGGACAGAGGAAUUCUUAGCCUUGUCGUUACUAAGUAUCUUCCAAU
rnacentral:sRNA from 1 species